ACUGUAUACAACUUUGGGUGUUAUUACCAAAGGUACAGUCAUUGAGGUGAAUGUCAGCGAGUUGGGCCUUGUAACACAAGGAGGCAAAGUGAUUUGGGGGAAAUAUGCCCAGGUUACCAAUAAUCCUGAAAAUGACGGAUGCAUAAAUGCGGUCUUACUUGUUUGACAACAGUUUUACACUUCUUGGAAUUAUUAUAAGACUACAAAUCAAUCAGGAAAACCACCAUUACUGUACAGUGAUAGUUCUGAAUACUACCAAACAGCCUUAAUAUUAAACUGUUUAAAAAAAAAAAAAAACAUUAAAAUGAGGGAGUUUGCAGGUUGUUCUUUAUUUGGGGGUUUAUGUUAAGGGUUUACAUGUUUUUAAGAAUCAACAAUUGAAAAAGCAAACCCAUAAAUACCAGUAUCUGCAUUAAAGAGUGGAUAUUCAGCAA